rnacentral:rRNA from 1 species
AUUGAACGCUGGCGGCAGGCCUAACACAUGCAAGUCGAACGAGCGGCGGACGGGUGAGUAAUGUAUGGGGAUCUGCCCGAUAGAGGGGGAUAACUACUGGAAACGGUGGCUAAUACCGCAUUCUAUCGGAUGACCCCAGAUGGGAUUAGCUAGUAGGGGGGGUAAAGGCGCACCAAGACGACGAUCUCUACCUGGUCUGAGAGGAUGACCAGCCACACUGGAACUGAGACACGGCCCAGACUCCUACGGGAGGCAGCAGUGGGGAAUAUUGCGCAAUGGGGGCAACCCUGACGCAGCCAUGCCGCGUGUAUGAAGAAGGCCUUCGGGUUGUAAAGUUCUUUCGGUAGCGAGGCGUUAACUACAGAAGAAGCACCGGCUAACUCCGUGCCAGCAGCCGCGGUAAUUC